rnacentral:rRNA from 1 species
UACGAAGGGGGCUAGCGUUGUUCGGAAUCACUGGGCGUAAAGCGCGCGUAGGCGGAUAGCUAAGUCAGGGGUGAAAUCCCGAGGCUCAACCUCGGAACUGCCUUUGAUACUGGCUGUCUUGAGUCCGGGAGAGGUGAGUGGAACUCCUAGUGUAGAGGUGAAAUUCGUAGAUAUUAGGAAGAACACCAGUGGCGAAGGCGGCUCACUGGCCCGGUACUGACGCUGAUGUGCGAAAGCGUGGGGAGCAAAC